GGGCUUCUUUUGCUUCCACAAAUGGAGACUGCACACUAUCCGCAUCCGAAUCACUUCCUGAUGAACUCCCUGACUCUGAAUCUGCAUAGAGUCAAACACCGAAAACCGUUUAAACAUUGGCAAAAGAUAAACAUUUAAAUGAGAAAUAGAUGAAAGGGUAAGACUAUAUUACCACUAGAAGAAGAACUGCCACUCGAACUGAAGCUGCCAGAAGAACUAGAGCCAC
rnacentral:sRNA from 1 species